GGUCGCGUAGCUCAGCUGGAUAGAGCACCUGCCUUCUAAGCAGGCGGUCCCAGGUUCGAAUCCUGGCGCGAUCACUA
rnacentral:tRNA from 1 species